rnacentral:rRNA from 1 species
AACGAACGCUGGCGGCGUGGAUAACACAUGCAAGUCGAGCGGGAUUUUUCGCGGUAGCAAUACAGUGGAAAAUUCAGCGGCGAACGGGUGCGUAACACGUGGGCAAUUUGCCUUAAAGUGUGGGAUAGCUCGGCGAAAGCCGAAUUAAUACCGCAUGUGGCUACUGGAGACAUCUUCGGGACGCUAAAGGUGGCGCAAGCUACCGCUUUUUGAGGAGCCCGCGGCCUAUCAGCUUGUUGGUGAGGUAACGGCUCACCAAGGCGUUGACGGGUAGCUGGUCUGAGAGGACGACCAGCCACACUGGGACUGAGACACGGCCCAGACACCUACGGGUGGCAGCAGUCGAGAAUUUUUGACAAUGGGGGAAACCCUGAUCGAGCGACGCCGCGUGGAGGAUGAAGGUCUUCGGGUUGUAAACUCCUGUCAUUUGGGAACAAGGCGUAUGUAUUAACUGUACGUGCGUUGAUAGUACCAGAAGAGGAAGAGACGGCUAACUCUGUGCCAGCAGCCGCGGUAAUACAGAGGUCUCAAGCGUUGUUCGGAUUCAUUGGGCGUAAAGGGUGUGUAGGUGGCGCGCUAAGUCGGGUGUGAAAUUUCGGAGCUUAACUCCGAAACUGCAUUCGAUACUGGCGUGCUUGAGGACUGGAGAGGAGACUGGAAUUUACGGUGUAGCAGUGAAAUGCGUAGAUAUCGUAAGGAAGACCAGUGGCGAAGGCGGGUCUCUGGACAGUUCCUGACACUGAGACACGAAGGCCAGGGGAGCAAACGGGAUUAGAUACCCCGGUAGUCCUGGCAGUAAACGGUGCACGUUUGGUGUGGGAGGAUUCGACCCCUUCUGCGCCGGAGCCAACGCGUUAAACGUGCCGCCUGGGGAGUACGGUCGCAAGAUUAAAACUCAAAGAAAUUGACGGGGGCCCGCACAAGCGGUGGAGUAUGUGGCUCAAUUCGAUGCAACGCGGAGAACCUUACCAGGCCUUGACAUGCAUCUCUAAGUUGGUGAAAGCCAGCGAGUGUCGAAAGACCCAAUUUGCACAGGUGCUGCAUGGCUGU